rnacentral:rRNA from 1 species
CGUAGGGGGCAAGCGUUAUCCGGAAUUAUUGGGCGUAAAGAGUACGUAGGUGGUUUUGUAAGCGCUGGGUGAACGGCAGUGGCUUAACCAUUGUAAGCCUUGCGAACUGCAAGACUUGAGUGCAGGAGAGGAAAGCGGAAUUCCUAGUGUAGCGGUGAAAUGCUUAGAUAUUAGGAGGAACACCAGUGGCGAAGGCGGCUUUCUGGACUGUAACUGACACUGAGGUACGAAAGCGUGGGGAGCA